GUGUCAGCCGCCGCGGUAAUACGGGGGGUGCAAGCGUUAAUCGGAAUCACUGGGCGUAAAGGGUGCGUAGGCGGUACGUUAGGUCUGUCGUGAAAUCCCCGGGCUCAACCUGGGAAUGGCGGUGGAAACCGGCGCACUAGAGUAUGGGAGAGGGUGGUGGAAUUCCAGGUGUAGCGGUGAAAUGCGUAGAGAUCUGGAGGAACAUCAGUGGCGAAGACGGCCACCUGGCCCAAUACUGACGCUGAGGCACGAAAGCGUGGGGAGCAAACAGGAUUAGAUACCCCCGUAGUCC
rnacentral:rRNA from 1 species